UGUAGCUUAGCAUUGAAUCUCGGUAUUGUCUGUACAGGAUAGGUGGGAGACUUGGAAACUUGGGCGUCAGCCUGAGUGGAGUCAUCCUUGGGAUACCACCCUGACAGUACUGGGGUUCUAACCGGCGGCCAUGAAUCUGGUCACGGGACAUUGUUAGGUGGGCAGUUUGACUGGGGCGGUCGCCUCCUAAAAAGUAACGGAGGCGCCCAAAAGUUCCCUCAGCGCGGUCGGAAAUCGCGCGAAGAGUGCAAAGGCAGAAGGGAGCUUGACUGCGACACAUACAGGUGGAGCAGGGACGAAAGUCGGGCUUAGUGAUCCGGUGGUACCUCGUGGGAGGGCCAUCGCUCAACGGAUAAAAGCUACCUCGGGGAUAA
rnacentral:rRNA from 1 species